rnacentral:misc_RNA from 1 species
GAUGAAGAACGUAGCGAAAUGCGAUAAGUAAUGUGAAUUGCAGAAUUCAGUGAAUCAUCGAAUCUUUGAACGCACAUUGCGCCCCCUGGUAUUCCGGGGGGCAUGCCUGUCCGAGCGUCAUUACAACCCUCAAGCUCAGCUUGGUGUUGGGCCCCGCCGCCCCGGCGGGCCCUAAAGUCAGUGGCGGUGCCAUCCGGCUCCGAGCGUAGUAAUUCUUCUCGCUCUGGAGGUCCGGUCGUGUGCUCGCCAGCAACCCCCAAUUUUUUUCAGGUUGACCUCGGAUCAGGUAGGGAUACCCGCUGAACUUAAGCAUAUCAAUAAGCGGAGGA